UUUAACCCUUUCUAAACAUGCCCAAUCUCUUCUGAUCUAGGAAAGGAAGCAGGGUUGGGUCUGGUUAGUGCUUGGAUGAGAGAAUAUUGGUUCUUAUUGAAC
rnacentral:rRNA from 1 species